rnacentral:lncRNA from 1 species
GGAAAAAUGGUUCAGUGGUCUUAAGAUAACAGCUUUGCCUUCAGAGGAAGCAUUACUGAUCUAGAUUCUUGUAUUUUGUAGGAUCCAGUACUACACCACCUACAGACAAGCGUACUGCAUGGAACAACAGCCCGUCUACAAGUGCUGCCCUGGUUGGAGCCAGUGGGACAAUGAACCUGGCUGCCUAUGCUGCGGUGGGAACAUGUUUCAAUGGAAGGAGGUGCUCAGACCGUGAGGCCAGCAGAGCCAGUGUUCAGAGGGUUUUCAAGGCCCCCACUGUCAAUAUGGUAUAGUGAACUAGAAAUGCCCUAUCAACAUCACUGUCAACAGAGACCAUGGGUUAAGAUGUGAAUGUUGAAGACUGAGAUUAUAAUUAUUCAAAUUUUCUAAAGAUACCAGUUUAAACAGCAGACAUCUAGCUCUUCAUAUGCUUUAUCAUAAAACAUGACUUAUCCAGUACUGCAAAUACAUUUUGUAUUUGAGAACAAGAAGGAAACAGACAUAUUUUGAAGGUAAAACAUUUGAAAUGAAAAGGAAGCACCAAAAGAGAUUUAUUUGAAAAAGUCAAAGAUAAGAGGGGGAAAAAGUCUGCCAAUUUUUUUGUAGUUCUUCAAAGGUAUUUCUCCAGGCUGGUCGCAGUUGCAAGAGGAUUGAUUAACCAUGCUGAGUGGCU